AUUGAACGCUGGCGGCAUGCUUUACACAUGCAAGUCGAACGGUAACAGGCCGCAAGGUGCUAACGAGUGGCGAACGGGUGAGUAAUGCAUCGGAACGUGCCCAGUCGUGGGGGAUAACUACUCGAAAGAGUAGCUAAUACCGCAUACGAUCUAUGGAUGAAAGCGGGGGACCGUAAGGCCUCGCGCGAUUGGAGCGGCCGAUGUCAGAUUAGGUAGUUGGUGGGGUAAAGGCUCACCAAGCCAACGAUCUGUAGCUGGUCUGAGAGGACGACCAGCCACACUGGGACUGAGACACGGCCCAGACUCCUACGGGGGGCAGCAGUGGGGAAUUUUGGACAAUGGGCGCAAGCCUGAUCCAGCAAUGCCGCGUGCAGGAAGAAGGCCUUCGGGUUGUAAACUGCUUUUGUACGGAACGAAACGGCUCUGGUUAAUACCCGGGGCUAAUGACGGUACCGUAAGAAUAAGCACCGGCUAACUACGUG
rnacentral:rRNA from 1 species